rnacentral:rRNA from 1 species
UGCAGGGUAUAGACCCGAAACCCGGUGAUCUAGCCAUGGGCAGGUUGAAGGUUGGGUAACACUAACUGGAGGACCGAACCGACUAAUGUUGAAAAAUUAGCGGAUGACCUGUGGCUGGGGGUGAAAGGCCAAUCAAACCGGGAGAUAGCUGGUUCUCCCCGAAAGCUAUUUAGGUAGCGCCUCGUGAAUUCAUCUCCGGGGGUAGAGCACUGUUUCGGCUAGGGGGCCAUCCCGGCUUACCAACCCGAUGCAAACUGCGAAUACCGGAGAAUGUUAUCACGGGAGACACACGGCGGGUGCUAACGUCCGUCGUGAAGAGGGAAACAACCCAGACCGCCAGCUAAGGUCCCAAAGUCAUGGUUAAGUGGGAAACGAUGUGGGAAGGCCCAGACAGCCAGGAUGUUGGCUUAGAAGCAGCCAUCAUUUAAAGAAAGCGUAAUAGCUCACUGGUCGAGUCGGCCUGCGCGGAAGAUGUAACGGGGCUAAACCAUGCACCGAAGCUGCGGCAGCGACGCUGAUGCGUUGUUGGGUAGGGGAGCGUUCUGUAAGCCUG